GGGGAAUAUUGGACAAUGGGCGAAAGCCUGAUCCAGCCAUGCCGCGUGAGUGACGAAGGUCUUCGGAUUGUAAAGCUCUUUUGGCGGGGACGAUAAUGACGGUACCCGCAGAAUAAGCCCCGGCUAACUUCGUGCCAGCAGCCGCGGUAAUACGAAGGGGGCUAGCGUUGUUCGGAAUUACUGGGCGUAAAGCGCACGUAGGCGGAUUGUUAAGUCAGGGGUGAAAUCCCGGGGCUCAACCUCGGAACUGCCUUUGAUACUGGCAAUCUCGAGUCCGGAAGAGGUGAGUGGAAUUCCUAGUGUAGAGGUGAAAUUCGUAGAUAUUAGGAAGAACACCAGUGGCGAAGGCGGCUCACUGGUCCGGUACUGACGCUGAGGUGCGAAAGCGUGGGGAGCAAAC
rnacentral:rRNA from 1 species